rnacentral:lncRNA from 1 species
CUCUCUCUCUCUCCCCCGAUUUCCUCCCGAGCCCCUCCCCCGCCGGACACUUCUUGCCGUCCGUACGCCGCCGUCCGGCCACCAUCUGCCGCCGCUCCGGUCCCAAACUGACUGCCUCCGACCCAGCUUCCAUUCUAGGCCGGUGAGAGGAGCCCUAGCACCACCGUGAGAGAGCGGUGCCGCUCGAAAGGUUUGACUGUCCAGAGCUUCCGGUCGCCGGAACUCCCUCCUCCGGCCACCAAAACCGGUGAUCCUUGGCUCGUUUUGUAGCCCUCCUCCCGUGCAGCAACCCCUCCAAUCAGCUCACUUCCUCUUGAGCUAGGUAAGGAGAAAUGUGGAGUUGAAAUUUCUAGGGCUUUUAGGUGUUUGUGUUCGAUUGCCCUAGUUAGGCUUGGAUUUUGGGUUUGUGCUGGUCAGAAAAGUUGUAGAGCAUGAUGAGGAGAUUAUUCUGUCAAAAUUUCAUAGGUUUUGGAGGUCGCCGGAAUUGGCCUCCGGCCGCCGCUGCCGGCGGAGCCGCCGCCGGUUGGGAGAUUUUAAUGUUGUUAAAUUUGGAAUAUUAAGGGGAGUUUAUUGAAGUGAGUUAUGGAAUUUUUGGAUGAGUUUUGGAUAGGUUUAUGAAUUUCCGAAGUUAGUAUUUUUGGCGGUUAAUUUAUGUAGAAUCCGACCGUUGGAUUAAAGUUGUUUAAACUGUGGGAAGGUGUAGUUACGGCUGCUGGUUCUAGGUUGAAAUGUGGACCAUUUCGAAGUUAGGCAAUGAUGAGCGUGUUAAUGGCUCUCGGUUAAUUUCUGCCUAUUUUGUGUAAAUAUUGGAAUUUCGGCUGGGAACUUAAUAUUAUAUUUGGAACAGGUCGUGAGGAGGCUCGAGCUGACGAGGCCCCAGAUCGACAUCAGGCUUAGGCCUAAUUUGUGAGUGGACUUUUGUUUUAAAUAAUGUGCAUGUGAAAUAAUUUAUGUUGUUGGAGAAUAACCGAAAUUGAGAAUUUCGGUGAGUAUAUAUAUAUAUAUAUAUAUAUAUACAUAUGUGGAUGAUUAUAGAGAAUAAUA